ACGCUUCUGUUUUCCCUGCUGGUUUUUGUUUUGUGCCUAAUUGCCUUAAAUUUUCAGUAAAACCAAGAGAAGCAAAAGAGGAAUAGGAGCCAAAAUGUCCUUUUGCCAGUUAAUUUCAUUUAAGUUGUAUUGUUUCUUUAUAAUUAGCUAGAAGAGUCUGAUUACUUCAACUUCAAAUUAGUUUUGUUCCUGUACAUGACAUUUACUGUUUUGUUUUCUUUUCCUUUUUCAGUUUUUGAUCACUGAUUAAUGAUUACAGUACGUUGUACACACUGAUUGACGCCUCAUUCCUUUUCCAGCAGAGUUUAGGAAAGUAAUUUUGGCCUCAUCUGUUGGAAUACAAAGUUUAUGCAAUUUCUAGUACCACUUACCGAGGCAUUUGAAAGAAGGACAGCAUCCCUUUCUCGUAUCAUGAGAAGGCUUGUUAAAUCCUCCUCAAAUAUAUCUUUGAAAGUUCUUAGAUUGGCUGUUCUUUUGUCUAUUUGAACGAGGUAUUGGCAUGAAAUUCUCUAGUUUCAUGACUUUGUCCUUUUAGAUACAAGAAAAAGGCCACAACACAAGCAUCCAUGAUGGAUUUCUUCCACUCAAUACUAUGAUAACAGCCAAGAAAUUAUUUUAUUGCAAUCAAUUGCAAUUAUUGUGUUACAUUGGGAUGAGAAAGAGGUUUAUGGUCUGCUUUCUGUUUCAUAUGGGGCACAUGCCUUUCCAAGUGAGCAUCAGCCAUGCGUAGGUUCUAGUGAGAGAGAAGAUGUCUAUUUCAAGAACAUCAUGGUUUUCCUUCUACAUUCACAUUUGGUGGGUCCUGGUGCAUCAAACUAUUUAAACAUCAUAAUAGUUUUCUUUCUGCAUUCACCUUUUAAUUGCAGUUUAUCAACAGCACUGAUGCCCUUUUUUUUCCG